rnacentral:tRNA from 1 species
GCCUAGUUAGCUUAGUUGGUAGUGCGUCUGCCUUGUAAGCCCUAGGCCGCGGGUUCGAUUCCCGCCCGGGGCA